rnacentral:rRNA from 1 species
AUUGAACGCUGGCGGCAGGCCUAACACAUGCAAGUCGAACGGUAACAGGAAGAAUCUUGCUUCUUUGCUGACGAGUGGCGGACGGGUGAGCAAUGUCUGUGACACUUCCUGAUGGAGGGGGAUAACUACUGGAAACGGUAGCUAAUACCGCAUAACGUCGCAAGACCAAAGAGGGGGACCUUCGGGCCUCUUGCCUUCGGAUGUGCCCAGUUGGGAUUAGCUAGUAGGUGGGGUAACGGCUCACCUAGGCGACGAUCCGUAGCUGGUCUGAGAGGAUGAACAGUCACACUGGAACUGAGACACGGUCCAGACUCCUACGGGAGGCAGCAGUGGGGAAUAUUGGACAAUGGGCGCAAGCCUGAUGCAGCCAUGCCGCGUGUAUGAAGAAGGCCUUCGGGUUGUAAAGUACUUUCAGCGGGGAGGAAGGGAAUAAAGUUAAUACCUUUGCUCAUUGACGUUACCCGCAGAAGAAGCACCGACUAACUUCGUG